rnacentral:rRNA from 1 species
CUAGUAUUAUCUAGUAAUAAAGUAUGUGGAAAAAAUUGAUACUACCAUACUAUUAGUGUUGUCAAAAGCUGUUAUGUGUUGUGGGAAAACACUAUUAUGGCUAAAACUAUCAAAUUCCGGGAACACCCUAAAGCUCCUGGUACCAAACCAUAGUCGAAAGGUUAUGAGUGGAUGGACUAAUCACCCAUGUAAGGUAAUAAGUCAGGAGAUCGAUGAAAAUAAAAUGGGUUAUCGCGGAUCUAAAUCAGACUUCUUAAUGGAUUCUGUAAAAGAGCAACGAGUAGACGGUAGUUAUUGCAUUAAAGCCAAAACCAAAAAAAUGCAAUUAAGGUAUACUCUAAUGGGUUUUGAGAGAAACUAUCAAGUCAAAAUCCCUUCUUACCAAUUAAAAAGAAUAAAUUAUUCUACAAUAUCCUCUGUACCCUUAAGGGUAAAUAGUUUACUAAAUCCUUAUUUUGUCUCUGGAUUUUCAGAUGCUGAAUCUAGCUUUAGUGUUUCAAUUUAUAAAAACAAUAAAUUAAAAACAGGUUAUCGUGUUAAAUCUUGUUUUCCGUACGGCGAAAUAGGGUUAAAUAAAAAAGAUAUUUCUGUAUUGUAUCAAUUACAAGAAUUUUUCGGUGGAAUAGGUACAUUAAGGACAGAUAACAAAGCUAAUGCAGUAAGAUAUUCAGUGGAUAGUCUUAAAGAUUUAACAACUAUUAUAAUACCUCAUUUUAACAGGUACCCACUAAUAACACAAAAACAAGCUGAUUUUCUAUUAUUUAAACAAAUAAUUGAG